rnacentral:misc_RNA from 1 species
AUUUCCCUUCUUUUUUCCACAUUCCUCUACUUUUCUUUAUGAAUCUUCCGCUGCUUUCCUUUCAAGAACUCUCUGUAUCUCUGCAAAUCCUUCCUCCCUCUCACUCUUUUCUUUAAUAACCAUCAAAACCUUCUUCUUCUUCAUCUUCUUCUUUUACUUUGUCUUCUAGCCAGCUCUUUGCAGGAGCAGACCGGCACCGCAUAAGCAACAGAGCAUUGCGAGGAGGAACGGAAGGUGCAGCAGUAGACUCGUCGCCACAGGACUUCUCUUUCUCCUUUUCCUUUAUCUUUUCUUUGCAAAAUUCGUUGUUUUGAUUCUCUUGUAACACCAUGAACCAUUUAGAAAACAUGGUUCUUGAAGCCUCAUUGGCAUCACUUGCCGCAGCUCCACCGUUAUUUUCCUGGCAUUCUUCAUCCUCUUCAUCAUCAUCUUCAUCACCAUCAUCAUCGUCAUCAUCGUCAUCCUCAUCAUCACUUCCUCCUUCACCAUUAGCUUCAGGAUCAUCCUCAGGAUCUCCUUCCUCUCCCCCCUCUUCACCUGAGAAAUCACCAUCGCCUUCAUCAUCCGGGUCUUCUGCAUUAUCAUCAUCAUCUUCUUCAUCAUCAUCGUCAUCAUAUUCAUUGUUUUCUCGACUUUCUUUUUGGCCACUUACAGUAUGCAUGGAAUCCAUUAAACAAGUCAUGUGAUAAGCAUGACAGCAAAAGAAUACAAUAACCGACACAUUUUGUAUAGAGAAGGGAUCAAAACACAUGCAACAUCUUGAAUCUCCCCUUGUUUUCGACUUGACCUCCAUUGUUCUCAUGCUCAAUGUUCUCUCAGUCGCCUGAGAAUCCCUACUACCGUCACUAAUCGCUCGUGCAUCAUCUCCUUCACUACUUAAGCAAACUCCCCGUCUUGCUUCCUUGUAGUAUUUGACUAAGAGGUUCACACAAUCUGCCUUAAGAAUAUCAUUGCACCCAUGUCUAAGAGAUGUUUCAGUUCUGUAAUCAGUGACAAUUUUGACUAGGCAAUCCCUAAGCCGAGGAAUUUCCAAGCCAUUAGGCACCAUAUUUACAAUAUAUAGGGGGUCAAGAUUGCCAACUGUAUGCUCCAACAACACUCCUACCAUUUCAGGUUUGUGAAGACACUGCUUAAUCAAUUCUUCCCAAAGUUCAUCAUCAUGCUGCAUGGUUACAAAUUCUACAGCCUCUUCAAUAUCUCCUAAUUCUUUUAUGAUGACAGCUAGGGCCUUUUUUGAGUUUCCCAUUCUUCCAAGUAUGAAGACUUGCUCCCUCAAAAGAUCUCUUUUGACACAAAUGUCGUAAGCCUUCUCAAGUGUGUAAUGUUGGCUGCUACGAAGAAAAGGAAGUAGCAUUUUUGGAUCAUAAUCUGCAUAAAGUUCUACCUGCAUAUCAUGAAAAUCCUUUCCAGCAUGUGGAUUUGCCUCGAAUAAUGAAUGCAGAUAUACAUGCAAGAAAUAUCUUGAAUCACACUUAUUUCUAGCAGCCAGCAGUUGCGAAACAACUUCAGCUGGGGGAAUUAAGUCCUUGUUUUGGAUAAACAAAGGAACAGCACGCUUGCAAUCCAGUAUCAUCAAUUGGACAACCAUUUCACGAAUUGCAUCAUGUAAGUUGUGUUUUUCAAUGAAUUCAAAUAUGCCCGGUUUCAUAAGAUCGGCAUAAAGUGAACAAGCUUUUUCAUAUUGCCCACCAAUUACAUACAACUCGGCCAGCGCCUCUUUGAGUGCAUCAGUCAUUGAAGAGGUGUUUAGCUGAGGUUCUAUAGCAGAAAUGACAGGUAAUGCAGAAUAAAUCACAGAUGGCCAAGAUUUAACAGUUGAUAAAAGAUCCUUAUGAAAAGAUGAAUUUGUUGCCAGUGCUACAAGUGCAACCUCGUAAGCAGUAUCACGCAGUCUUGGGUUUUCUGUUGGUAUAUAUGGAACCAAAACAGGAAGCUGACGGAGAUGAGCAAAAUGGAAAACCCACCUGCAAAAAAGCAGUCCACGAUCAUUAUUAACAAGGGAUGUGGUAAUAUUUAGUAAUAGUUGCUUUAUUUACCUCUCCCAUGCUGUUGCAGAUCCUUGUAACAAUUUGGGACACAAAGAUGCAGCUUCAGCAUAUUUCCUUUCCACAAUCAAAUGAUCAAGAUAUCUAGAUCCCACCUCAUCAAGGAGUUCACUUCGAGCCUGACCUGCUUCAACCGCAGCUAAAGCUUUUUCAUGCCAACCAUGUUGUAGAAGCCAUGCAAUGUGAUCUUCAGCAUCCCUAACAAAACAUCAUUUUUCUUUAAAAAUUUCUGUUUAAAGGAUCAUUAGGUUUCCACUUCUAGAAACCAGGAGAGUGGAAUGGUUAUGCAUUACCUUAUAGCUUCAACCAAAAUUCAAGAUAUUUCAUCAAAGCCUAGCAUAAUUUUCCACACCAUCCAAUUGUUAAAAGAUUACUGCUGAUCAAAUCUCAAAACUAGAAUUCAACUUUUUAUGAAUGCAACAUAAUUUGUUAAGAUUUGGCUUCCAUUCUAGAUAUUCAUACCUAUGAUAAGCAUAUAAGAAACUAUAGAUUGAUCCUACUAUACAUUUAUAAGUUUCUUUCCAUGAUAUACUGCUUUUAAUCAGUUUACAAACACGUCAAACAGACAGUAAUAUAAAUAUGAUACUAAUCAUCUAUGAGGUUCUCCAUCAACCAAGUUCUUACUAUUUCAACCAUCACCAUGAAAGGAAAAAAAAAAAUUGAAAAAAAAGGGUGAUGUUCUAAUCAUGUCAGUCCAAUUUUCUAAAUACUGUUUAUCAAUAACAUACACACUAUUAAUGUGACAAAGUCCCAUAAACCAGUGACCUAAAAGUAAGCAUUGAAGAAAUAAUACAGUGGCCCAAUUUACCACCAUAAAUCAAUAAUGGAAGUUAUAUUCUGUGAUCAAUUGAUCAUGACAUUAUACAUCCUGAUUCUUAAUUCCUUUUAUACUGUUAAUGCAUUAUAAUUAUUGAAGCAACUUAUACAUGAAAGGGUGAUAAUGAAAGAUAAGCAUGUAUAGAUGAAAUUAUAAUUCAAAACACAGACUUAGAUAUAUGUUUUAAAUGUCAAUUUUUUGCUUAUAUGUGCAUCUGUGAAUAAAUUCUAACCAAACUGGAGCAGAAGCCAGCAUAUGUCCCUUUUCACUUAAAUCAGAUAUGCUCAAAUCUGAGAAGCAAUUAAUACGAACCUUGGUUUUGCAAUAACCACAUCCUUUGGGGAUACAAUGUAAUACAAUGGUUCAUCACCAGCAGCCCAUUGACCGCCAGCAUAGCUGCUACCUGAGAAAGGAGAAUGAGCAAGGGAAUAGUCCUUUGCCUUGUAAUGCUCGAAUCCAUGCACAGGUAGGGCAUCUGUUGCCAGUUCAUCAUUAUUCCACGUAACUACGCGUACUUCUGGUCUCUGUGCAUUGCCCUGUCUUGAUGGAAUGGCACUGCUAAAUUCCUUCUCUCCAUCUUCUUGUCCAGAAAUAUAAGCUAGAACAACCAAAGAAUCACCAAAAGGAGCAAUUCCUGAAAUAUAAUAGCUGGUUUGAAAAGAUGCCACAAUAUCCACCUUGUUCAUACUAGCCGUAGGAAUUUGCCUAUAUGUCCCAUUGGUUCCAUUAUUCUCACUUGUUCUUAUUGAUGCAAUUUUCACAGAUGUUCCCCAGCCAAUUACCAACAGGGUAUCGUCCUGCCAAACUAAGUGAGGGAGCAAAAGCUCAGGACGUGGACUUCCUCGCGGUCUUUCAAUGAAUGUUAUUCGCUGAUCAUUGGCAGCAUCAUAAACUUUCACGCCUGCAUCAUUAGCCCAUGCAAUGAGACUUGUUCUCCACUUUACAGCAUGUAUUGGACCUUCACCAGAGUGCAAAACCUGGUCUCGAUAGCCCAGCCAUUUUUUCCAAUUAAAAUACAAAUGACCAGCUAAACCACCAGCUACAAAUCUUCUAGAUGUUUUUCUAGAAUAUUCAGGGUCCAAAGCAAUAGCCUUCAUUGGACGAUGAUAAUCAAACUUCAUUUUCUCAUCGGUGAAAAGGCUAUGUAUUACAACAGACCCAUCAUCUGAACAGCUUCCUAUAUAUUCACCUUCUAUAUCAAAGCUAAGGUCAUUAACUGCAGCAGUAUGAGCAGGAAAUUCCUUAACCUCGUUGCCAAUGAAAUCGAGGAUAUAAACGGUACCGUCGAGUGUCCCAAGCGCGAUCAUGCGCUCCGCCACCGCAAUACACGACGCGGCAUCAUUAGAUAGUAGCGUGGGAACACUACCUCCCAUUCUCUGAUACUUGAGCCUGGGUUCCUCUUCCUCCUCCUCCUCAUCUUCUUCUUCCUCCUCCUCAUCUUCUUCAUCCUCUUCCCGCUCGUCGUCUCCGUCGACGCCGUUUUCCGACGGAAUGAGAGCCAUUUGGAGGAUUGUGCUAUUCGUCGUGGAGAGAAAUGAAAGGAAAGAGGAAAUGAUUGAGAAAGAUCCGCUUUGCUUGGGUGAUAGUGUGGGCGAGGAGAGAGGAGAAGGGUGGUUUUGGUUUAAAACAGUUGUUUAAUUAUUAAUUAAC